GGGUUAGUGGUCUAGUGGUAUGAUUCUCGCUUUGGGUGCGAGAGGUCAGGGGUUCGAUUCCCCGCUAACCCC
rnacentral:tRNA from 1 species